AUGGCCGAAUGCUUCAAUAGGGUGCUCAAAGGUGCACGUGGAUUACCCGUGACGGCAAUAGUUCAAUACACAUUUGACAAGAUGAAUGCGUACUUUGUAAAGUACUCGAUGGAAACCGAUGCACAGAUAGCGGGUGAGAACCCACGGAAGUAGAAGUACAAGUUCCCACCCAAAGUUGAUGAAUGGUUGCUAUUUCAAUCACGGAAGGCGGACUCAGAAGAAGCUAUAUUAUAUGACAAUGAAGAGUGGAAGUACGAAGUGAAAGAGCCAGGAGGAACCACAAAUGAUGGCCGGCAACAUGGAGGUCGGGCUUUCAAGGUGUCGUUAACACAAUGUGAUUGCACUUGCGGGAGGCCAUUGUUGCUUCAUCUCCCAUGCUCACAUUUGUAUGCCGCCGGCCGCGUUAGGAAUGUGGACAUCAAUCACCCACGCACCGUGAGGGAGUCGGAGUUCUCAAUCAUGACGGUGAAGAAAACAUGGGCUCCCCGCUUUCACCCAUACUUUGACCAAUCACAAUGGCCGGAGUAUCAUGGAGUUCAACUAUGGCCGGAUCCG
rnacentral:rRNA from 1 species